rnacentral:ncRNA from 19 species
AUAUGCAUUGGCAAUGGGGUUUGCCUUCUCGGUCAACGAGAGAACCGCCUGAUUAUUUCGGUGCUGAUAACUCCUAUUGGUAC